UACAGAGGGUGCGAGCGUUAAUCGGAAUUACUGGGCGUAAAGGGUGCGUAGGUGGAUAUAUAAGUGGCGUGUGAAAUACCCGGGCUUAACCUGGGGGGGUCACGUCAUACUGUAUAUCUGGAGUAUAGGAGAGGGGAGUGGAAUUUCCGGUGUAGCGGUGAAAUGCGUAGAUAUCGGAAAGAACACCUGUGGCGAAGGCGGCUCUCUGGCCUAAUACUGACACUGAGGCACGAAAGCAUGGGGAGCAAACAGG
rnacentral:rRNA from 1 species